CUCUAAGCUCUGAGCGGUGGCUGCUGAGUGGAGUUGCGAGCUGCAGAUAGGAUCAAGUGUGAUGAGAUAACGGAACCGUUGGUCGCAAUCCAUCGACGAUCUACAGUAUACUCCAUUACACUGCGCGCAGGAUAUUUAUGAGGGAAAGAUGUCUCGUCUGUACAAGGAAGACCAGGAUGACUGGGUGACUGUCUGUCUGAAAUAUCUCCUCUUUGUCUUCAAUUUUCUAUUUUGGCUGGGUGGAGCAGCAGUGAUGGCUGUUGGGAUCUGGACGCUGGUCGAUAAGAGUGACUACCAGAGCCUGUUGGAGUCCAGCGCCUUCGCCGUCUCCGCCUACAUCCUCAUCCUCGCCGGGGUCCUGGUCAUGGUCACCGGAUUCCUGGGCUGCUGCGCCGUCAUCCGAGAACAAAGGAGCUGUCUGUCCAUGUACUUCUCCUGCCUGCUGCUCAUCUUCCUGAUUGAGCUUGUGGCCGGAGUCCUGGCGUACGUAUACUACCAACAGCUGAGUGAAGAGCUGAAGCAGCAUCUGAACCAGACGAUGACGGGCAGCUACGCGCAGCUGGGCAAGGACUCUAUCACACAAGCUGUGGACAGGCUGCAGCAGGACUUUAAGUGCUGUGGCAGCAACUCUUCUUCUGAUUGGCUGCACAGCACGUAUUUGAACUCAUCUGAGAGUGGGGAAAGGAUGGUGCCAGACAGCUGCUGCAAGACCCCCACCCCCAACUGUGGCGAGAGAGACCACCCCUCCAACAUCUACAAAGUGGAGGGCGGCUGCAUCACCAAACUGGAGCAGUAUCUGACCGAUCACCUGCUCAUCAUCGGGGCGGUGGGGAUCGGCGUGGCCUGUCUGCAGCUGACUGGCGCUGUCCUGACUUCCUGUUUUAUCUAUGUGCUCUAUAAAGAAGAAGAGGAGUUCUUCUCUGACGUGUGAUUGGUUAGCGUCUGUUUAGAUGUGGGUUCCUGCACAGUAGGAGGGAUUGGACAGGAUCUGCGGAAUAAUAUUUACCUGCUGCUUGUACAGAAGAUUUCAGCUGGAUCCCUACUGAAGACCUGAGCAACACCCUACACCUGCCUUGUUCCCCCGAACCUUAACCCUUACGCCUCAACUGGGGAAUUUACUGUGCGUCUCUGUGGCUUGUGACUUUAACAGUUUUAUGUUUCAUUUGAAUUUCUUUACAACUGAAGAACUUUGAAUGCCUUUCAAAAAGCCAUAGACUUUUCUUUCAAUCAUAAACAGAUUUAGAAAAGAAAUUCUUGACCAGUACUAUUUCUACAGCAGUGAAUGAGAUGGCUGUCAUGACAGCCAUGAUAAAAGCUGUAAGUGUUUUUACUGUAAACACACUGUUACUGUUUUUACUGUCUACAUGACAUCCUGCUGUGAAGA